UAAUACGGAGGGUGCAAGCGUUAAUCGGAAUUACUGGGCGUAAAGGGUGCGUAGGUGGUUUAUUAAGUUAUCUGUGAAAUUCCUGGGCUCAACCUGGGCAGGUCAGAUAAGACUGGUAGACUCGAGUAUGGGAGAGGGUAGUGGAAUUUCCGGUGUAGCGGUGAAAUGCGUAGAGAUCGGAAGGAACACCAGUGGCGAAGGCGGCUACCUGGCCUAAUACUGACACUGAGGCACGAAAGCGUGGGGAGCAAACAGG
rnacentral:rRNA from 1 species